rnacentral:rRNA from 1 species
AGAGGAAGUAAAAGUCGUAACAAGGUUUCCGUAGGUGAACCUGCGGAAGGAUCAUUACCAAAAGAAAACAGAAAACAACUUCAGGGAAGAGGAAGCCACAAGGCAUCCACCCCCUGUCGGGCCACCCAAUACCUGCGAAACGCCACCGUCCUAGCGGUGGCGGACGAUCCGUAACGAAAACGGAAAAGAAACAAAAAUCAGGCACGGUGGCCCGUUUACCUUCACCAAACCCUCUGUGUACCACUUCCACGUUGCUUCCCCGCGGACACCCCUCUGAGGUGUGUGCGGGGGAGGUCUACAGCAAACAAACACGCGCUCAACAGCAGUCAGAGGGAAAUUGAUAGAAAUGAUAAAACUUUCAACAACGGAUCUCUUGGUUCCCGCAUCGAUGAAGAACGCAGCGAAAUGCGAUAAGUAAUGUGAAUUGCAGAAUUCAGUGAAUCAUCGAAUCUUUGAACGCACAUUGCGCCCCCUGGUAUUCCGGGGGGCAUGCCUGUUCGAGCCUCAAUGAAACCUCUCCCUCAGUUCAGGUCUUCCUGCACGUGAGGGGUAUUGCUGGAUGCCCACGCCUUGAAAAGUGCCGGCACCGCCCAAAUUCAAAGUCCGCAUGCCUGGGGGUAGCGACCAACGUAGUGAGAUUCAAUCUCGUUGGCGACGUGACCCCACAGAGGCAACGGGACCUUAAGCGCCAAGGCGCCAACGUCAAAACGGUUGAGCUCGGAUCAGGUAGGGAUACCCGCUGAACUUAAGCAUA